rnacentral:rRNA from 1 species
AGAGUUUGAUCAUGGCUCAGAUUGAACGCUGGCGGCAUGCCUUACACAUGCAAGUCGAACGGUAACGGAUCCUUCGGGAUGCCGACGAGUGGCGAACGGGUGAGUAAUACAUCGGAACGUGCCUGGUAGUGGGGGAUAACUACUCGAAAGAGUGGCUAAUGCCGCAUGAGAUCUCAGGAUGAAAGCAGGGGACCCUCGGGCCUUGCGCUAUCAGAGCGGCCGAUGGCAGAUUAGGUAGUUGGUGGGAUAAAAGCUUACCAAGCCGACGAUCUGUAGCUGGUCUGAGAGGACGAUCAGCCACACUGGGACUGAGACACGGCCCAGACUCCUACGGGAGGCAGCAGUGGGGAAUUUUGGACAAUGGGCGCAAGCCUGAUCCAGCAAUGCCGCGUGCAGGAUGAAGGCCUUCGGGUUGUAAACUGCUUUUGUACGGAACGAAAAGCUUCGGGCUAAUACCCUGGAGUCAUGACGGUACCGUAAGAAUAAGCACCGGCUAACUUCGUGCCAGCAGCCGCGGUAAUACGAAGGGUGCAAGCGUUACUCGGAAUUACUGGGCGUAAAGCGUGCGUAGGUGGUGGUUUAAGUCUGCUGUGAAAGCCCUGGGCUCAACCUGGGAAUUGCAGUGGAUACUGGGUCACUAGAGUGUGGUAGAGGGUAGUGGAAUUCCCGGUGUAGCAGUGAAAUGCGUAGAGAUCGGGA